AUGAACGCUGGCGGCGUGCCUAAUACAUGCAAGUCGAGCGAACAGAUGAGGAGCUUGCUCCUCUGACGUUAGCGGCGGACGGGUGAGUAACACGUGGAUAACCUACCUAUAAGACUGGGAUAACUUCGGGAAACCGGAGCUAAUACCGGAUAAUAUAUUGAACCGCAUGGUUCAAUAGUGAAAGACGGUUUUGCUGUCACUUAUAGAUGGAUCCGCGCCGCAUUAGCUAGUUGGUAAGGUAACGGCUUACCAAGGCAACGAUGCGUAGCCG
rnacentral:rRNA from 1 species